UACCCUGUAGCUAGAGCUAUGCGGCAGGCC
rnacentral:piRNA from 1 species